GGAACAAAUGAGUGUGGCAUUGAACAUAGUGUGGUUGCAGGAUUGCCUUCAGCAAGAAAUUUGAAUGUGGAACUUGGUGAUGCUGUCCUUGAUGCCUCAAUGUAAAUUGAUAUAUCUUCAACAAGAACAUUACAUAAUAAUACUAGCAAAUUAAUAUGAUACUUGGGAUGAAAAGACCUUAUGAAUUUUCAUAUUUAUCUUGUCCAUUUAAU
rnacentral:misc_RNA from 1 species